GCGGUCGUGGUGGAAUUGGCAGACACGCAAGACUAAGGAUCUUGUGGGCGACCAUGCAGGUUCAAGUCCUGUCGACCGCACCA
rnacentral:tRNA from 1 species